AUUUACUCAUGCCCUAUCAUCUACUUAAAUGAAUCCUCAAAUCCUUGCAUUAACAGAUCCCUCAGAAAAAAAACUGCCACAAGGAGACAUUUAUUUGCAAGGUGUCAUGGAAGAUUGGCUUUCAUCAGUGUUUUACAGGCAUUCAAAGUGCUACUAAAGAGGAUUGUUUAAGAGAUUCCUCUUUCCUUCCCCUGUCUGCUACUCAUGGAUGAUGGACUGCAGGCCACUUCCCACAUUGAGUGGUUAGCUCUGCAUCAGGCUGGCUUGAGGAAUAUUAGAUUCUCGAGCUUGGCCGAACCCAGAGGUGCAUCCUGUCCCUUUUUCCCUGGCAAGUUCUGGAAUGGGCUAGUGGAGUCAGGAGUCAGAUGCGUGGUCUUACCCAAUUAG
rnacentral:lncRNA from 1 species